GGACUCGUUAGAGCCUUUCGCUAUGAGAUGAGCCUGCGUUAGAUUAGCUAGUUGGUGGGGUAAAGCCUACCAAGGCGACGAUCUAUAGCUGUUCUGAGAGGAAGAUCAGCCACACUGGGACUGAGACACGGCCCAGACUCCUACGGGAGGCAGCAGUGGGGAAUAUUGGACAAUGGGCGCAAGCCUGAUCCAGCAAUACCGCGUGUGUGAAGAAGGCCCUAGGGUUGUAAAGCACUUUCAAUUGGGAGGAAAAAUAAGCGUUAAUACCGCUUAUCUUGACAUUACCUUUAGAAGAAGCACCGGCUAACUCCGUG
rnacentral:rRNA from 1 species